rnacentral:rRNA from 1 species
AUUGAACGCUGGCGGCAAGCCUAACACAUGCAAGUCGAACGAGUGGCGUACGGGUGAGUAAUGUCUGGGCAACUGCCUGAUGGAUGGGGAUCACUACUGGAAACGGUAGCUGAUACCGCAUACCAUCGGAUGUGCCCAGAUGGGAUGAGCUAGUAGGGGGGGUAAAGGCUCACCAAGGCGACGAUCCCUAGCUGGUCUGAGAGGAUGACCAGCAACACUGGAACUGAGACACGGUCCAGACUCCUACGGGAGGCAGCAGUGGGGAAUAUUGCACAAUGGGCGCAAGCCUGAUGCAGCCAUGCCGCGUGUAUGAAGAAGGCCUUCGGGUUGUAAAGUACUUUCAGCGGGGAGGCGUUACCAGCAGAAGAAGCACCGGCUAACUCCGUGCCAGCCGACGCGGUAAUUC